UUUCUCUUGGAGCGACAACUUUUCCUCGAUGUUUUUCCACUUGGCUAUGCUAGUUUCUGAAGAUAGCAAGCUUCCUAGACACUUUAUUGCCAAAGGAACUCCCAUGCAUUUCUCCAAAAGUUGAUCAACUAUUUUAGUGAGUUCUGGAUUUUCUACUUCUUGUCUGUUUCUGAAAGCAUAUUCUUUGAAUAAACGAGAUGAACUUUGCUUUGACAGUUUCUCAAGUUUGAAAAUUGUUUGAUAUUCCGUAUCAUCUUGCUUUAUCGGUGGGAUAUCUGGAUUGAUCCCCAAGCCAAUAUUAGUAUCUUCUGUAACUUGUGGAAUUGGAACUUCUAGAUUCUGAGCAUCUUCUGUUAAUGAUAGGCUGUGUUCAUAGAUUUUGUUUGCUAUAGCGUCUGCAGUUUCCUCAAUUUGUGAACCUGGAACUGCUUGGUUCUGGGUAUUUUUUGUUAACGACUGAUUGUGUGCAGAUACUCUGUCACCAUUCGCCAGAUUUUCCUUUGAUCGUCUCUCAGUCUUGUAGCCACGGUCUUGUAAAUAAUUUGCAAUUUCCUCAGUUUGUGUGGUCACUAUGAUCUUGCUGCCAUGUUGUCCCAUCUCCAAUAAUUCAUUUAACACUAAAGGGGAACGAUCUUUCAAGUUGGUGAUUGAAAGGUCUUGAAAGACGAGCAAAAAAGUUUCCACUUUCAGAAGUCGUUUAACCUUAGAAAGCAAUUGUUCUGUCGUCAAGUCCUCGCAAAUUUCUUUAUUGUCUGCAUGACUGUAAACCUCCUUCACCAAUCUAUGUUUAUUAAAGCCUUCCUCCACACAAACCCAGUAUCUUGAAGUAUACUUACCAACUACAUUGUUAUGAUUGUACAAGAAUCUGGCCACUGUGCUCUUACCUAUACCGGCUUCCCCAACUAUGUGGAAUACAUGAGUACAUUCAUUGAAAACAUUCAAAAUUCCAUCAUAUAUUUCGUCAUAUGUUCUGGAAGCAUCUAUUAAAGGGUAAAGCAAUUGCCAACUUGGUUUCAGGUGUCUUAUUGAAAUUUCUGAAGCACUAGGGAAAGUGUGUGUUGUCUCCAUACUUAUGGAAUCAAUGUGCUUUACUUUGAGAUGAAAUUCAUACAUUCUGGUUGCAAUGUUAUUGAGUUCGUCGCAUACUUGCUUCCUUUUACAUUUCUGUUUCAAUUUAUUUGCAGAAAUUUGAUUAGAGCACGAGAAAGGGGCAAGUACCUGUUUUCCAAUGUCCUUUUGUUUGAAGAUUUCCCAUUUGAAUUCAUCUAUGGAGUCCUCAACUUGGUAAAAGACAUUUUGAAGUUCCUUUAGCCAGUUCUGUAGACGUUGAUUU
rnacentral:lncRNA from 1 species